GCCUUUUGUAUUUAAACAUGUAUAAACAUCAGUAGACUCUAGACUCUAAAUGCUGUAUGAUGCUGCUCUGUACACAGUAUGCACACAAACCACUACAGGAAACCAAAUUGAUUUCAUAUUUUCAGACAAUCCUACUAAGUCCAAUGUAUUGAUCAUAGGCCUACUUACAAAGUCUGGUUUGAGGUGACUAUAAGCCCAAAAGCGAAACGGUUUCUAUUUCUCUGUCUAUUUCUGUUACGAGGAAAUUUUGGUUUUGAGGUUUCCGGCGGAGAAAAAGUGUGAGGUGACUAGGCCCAAAAGUGUCUUGCAGAACCGAGGACCUCUGGUUAAACUCUCAGCGAAAGUCAUAAUUGAUUGUUUGACGUCAUUGUGCUCACUCAACUCGAUAUAUUGUAAACAAAAUAGAAAUAAUAAAUGCGCAUCCCUGGUGAAGUUGACUUCAGCUCAAGAAGAAUCUGUUGAGGAUGUACAGGCAGUUUGUUGUAGAACGCGCGAAAAAUAUUUGAGAAAUAAUUGAUCAAAAAAUGCACACACUGAAGGCAAUAUGUAGUUUGUACUUCAUUUCCUCAGUAAGUACCAUGAAACUGUCGCUUACUAUUGAUUCCUAUGAACCCAAAUGUUUGAAAUGUGUAUUCACUGACAAGGUCACGGUGUCGGCAUCUUUGACAUUUAACGAUACGAUCAAAGAUUUUCCAGACAAUAUUUUUGUAGAAUUGUAUCAAAAUGAAAUGGGCAGCGAGCCAGCCAACCCGUGGGAAGUGUACUGUCAUCUAGCUCUUCGCAUGUGCUUCAGAAAUGAAUACAAUGAUGCCACCUGUAAUUGUAAAGUUGGAAAACUAUUUCAAGUGCUCUUCAGAGUCACGCUCUUGAAUGUAGACAAUAUGAGAAACCAAAAACUGCGUCUGCGUUGGACUCAUGACAGUUGGAUUCAUAAUGAAAGACAAUUUUUUGAUGAUUUGCUAGUUAGUAACAUUUAUCAGUGGUAACGCUCUCUAUAGACCUGGUUUUAUUUACAUAGCUAGUACAUAAGAAUAGAAAUGUGCAAAUCAUGUCACUACAGAUCACAUUAGUUUGUAGGAAGGAAGUCUGACUACAUUAUAUCUUAUCAGUCUAGCAAUGCUCUAAUUCAUCAACCUAAUGGUGACUAGAUUUUGUACCUCGUGUUGUAUUCUGUGAAUUGAAUGUUGAAAUAAACUUUUUUUUUUUACAUUUUCUGUUUAUUUUGUCUUAUGAAACUGUCAUUCCUGACUUAAUAAAAUACAAAAACAAAAAAGAAUGUUUUCAAUGAACUGUUCCAAUUUUUUGAUGAUUUGCUAGUUAGUAACAUUUAUCAGUGGUAACGCUCUCUAUAGACCUGGUUUUAUUUACAUAGCUAGUACAUAAGAAUAGAAAUGUGCAAAUCAUGUCACUACAGAUCACAUUAGUUUGUAGGAAGGAAGUCUGACUACAUUAUAUCUUAUCAGUCUAGCAAUGCUCUAAUUCAUCAACCUAAUGGUGACUAGAUUUUGUACCUCGUGUUGUAUUCUGUGAAUUGAAUGUUGAAAUAAACUUUUUUUUUUUACAUUUU